AAUAUGGGAUGAUAAGGUUACUAAAAAAAAUAUUGAACCUUACUGGAAACUCAACAAAUGGUCUAGAGUCAGCAGCAUCCAGAUCAUAAGAAUUCUAUAUUAGUAUUAGAUAGUUUAUCAACCAUUAGUUUAAGCUUGGAGAUGGAAUUUCCACUGCUUGAUACAACUGUAUCAUGCAUAAAGAAGUUGAAAAACUUUAAAGACCAAUUAAAUAAGAUAAAAUUGGCCAAGACUUAAGGAGCUUCUGGCUCUAAACUCUCAUACAGAUGUUAUGAUUACAUUAAAUUCAUUGAGCUAAUAAUAAAUACACUACUGAUGUUAAAUGCAUUGUUGGGUGAAAGAAUAUUGGCUUUUUUGGAAAGGGUGUGUUCUGAGAGCAAUUGUAUCUCCAUUCAAUGGCAAAGGGUUUGAAAAAUCAAUCAGAGGAUCCAAAUACCACAAUUGAAUUAUCACUCCAAAUUCAACAGAUAUACCUGCAAAUCAAAGCUCAUUAAAUUUAUUUAAUUAAAUUAUAACUAUGUGAAAAUUAAUUUGUUUUUUUUGUAAAUCUAUUUAUUUAUAUAUAAUAAAGUUAUAUU